UAAGCCCUACGGGACGCAGCAGUGGGGAAUAUUGCACAAUGGGGGAAACCCUGAUGCAGCGACGCCGCGUGAAGGAAGAAGUAUUUCGGUAUGUAAACUUCUAUCAGCAGGGAAGAAAAUGACGGUACCUGACUAAGAAGCCCCGGCUAACUACGUGCCAGCAGCCGCGGUAAUACGUAGGGGGCAAGCGUUAUCCGGAUUUACUGGGUGUAAAGGGAGCGUAGACGGCAGCGCAAGUCUGAAGUGAAAUCCCAUGGCUUAACCAUGGAACUGCUUUGGAAACUGUGCAGCUG
rnacentral:rRNA from 1 species